GACGAACGCUGGUGGCGUGCUUAACACAUGCAAGUCGAGCGGUAAGGCUCCUUCGGGAGUACACGAGCGGCGAACGGGUGAGUAACACGUGAGCAAUCUGCCCUACACUCUGGGAUAACCCCCGGAAACGGGAGCUAAUACCGGAUACGACCACUUCAGGCAUCUGAUGGUGGUGGAAAGUUCCGGCGGUGAAGGAUGAGCUCGCGGCCUAUCAGCUUGUUGGUGAGGUAAUGGCUCACCAAGGCUUCGACGGGUAGCCGGCCUGAGAGGGUGACCGGCCACGCUGGGGCUGGGACACGGCCCAGACUCGUACGGGAUGCAGCAGUGGGGAAUAUUGGACAAUGGGCGAAGGCCUGAUCCAGCAACGCCGCGGGAGGGAGGACGGCCUUCGGGUUGUAAACCUCUUUCAGCAGGGACGAAGCGAAAGUGACGGUACCUGCAGAAGAAGGACCGGCCAACUACGUGCCAGCAGCCGCCGUAACAC
rnacentral:rRNA from 1 species